rnacentral:rRNA from 1 species
CCUGAGAAACCCAAAAGAUCGAAUGGGGAGAUUCAUCGUCAGCGAUGCUGGUACCUGUGCGGUUCGNGAUGCCCGUGACUUCGGUAACGCGGCACGCGUCCGCAUGUUUUUCAUUGCCUGGCAUCGUCAACGUGCACUUCUCCCCUAGUAGGACGUCGCGACCCGUUGGGUGUCGGUCUACGGCCCAAGUGGGAGCCUUUAAUGUUUAACAACAUUAAAGACCCUUGGUGAUUUCUGAUCGGCUGNCCGGCNNNUACUCGGCGGUAUUCGCACGGUAUCGGGCCGCAAUCAGUCAAUUUGCGUCCGGGCCGCCGCAAGGUUGGCCAGUGUUAACCCGGAUGUUACGGACCAAGCGCCGUCACCGGGCCUGGCCGGCCGGUUUGCCGGCGUUGUCCCCUCGGACUCUGGGCUCUUUUGAUUACCGGUCAGCGACGCUACUGCUUUGGGUACUUUCAGGACCCGUCUUGAAACACGGA